rnacentral:lncRNA from 1 species
CUCAUUGUCCUUUUUUUCUCAAUUUUUGAAUUUUUAAUGUCAAAUAUUUUGAUUAAUUCUUUAUUCUUUAUCUCUAAUUAGUGAAUUAAUUUGUAUUAAGCCACGACUUUUAAUUGCCCUCCGUCUCUUCCUAUUCUUUUUCACAUCUAAGAUGUUGACUUUUGUUCUUCCUUCUUUCACUAUCCAUAUCCAUGGCUAUUAUUAACUAACUGAUUUUGUCAUCCUGAAGGGGAAAUGAUCAAUGUGAAACACUAGGGCAAGAAAAUUACUGAACAAUUGUUCUGCAACGGUGGUGAAUCGAUGAUCAAGAAAGUUGUGGAAAACAAUUCUGAUGAAAGGAAAAUCAACUGGGGUGUUGGUGUCAGCAAUCAGGAAUCCUUUCGCCUUGAAAAGUCGUCACAAAAACGUGAAGUGCCAAAAAAUAGAGUUUUCAAAAUCAAUCAGAAGGGCAGUGCUAAUUCUGCAUUUGAGAGACAAUUGCCCAUUAUCAGAAAAAGAUCACGAGAAUUAGCCAAUGAAGAUCAACAACGCUUCAAGAAGGCGGCAAAAGGGAACACUAUCGUUAGGGUUUAAGUCCCUCCUGUUGCAAUAAUCAACAGAGAAUUGGAUAUUGAUUUCAAGAAUAAGAUUGGUGAAAUAAGGGGUUCACUUGAAUCAGUUAAAUUGGUGAUCGAAAAAAGACUAUUCAUGAGUGAUGUUCACUUGAAUUGGUUAAAUUUGCUAUUGUUGUGCUUUGGGUAAUUUAGUGCUUUGAAUAAUUUAGCUUCUGGUUUCACCCUCUUCGAUUUGAACAAAUUAGUUUUCUUAUUCGCAGUUUGUUCAAUUUUAUGCUAAUGGGUUGAGCAUUUGUGUUAUUUUUGAUUUAGGUAUAUUGAAGAAAGAUGUUGGAAGAACUCAUCACCGGUAGUUAGUGUAUGUAAUUAAUUUUUAUCUUCUUCUUUCUACUACUGCUUUGAAGAUUCCUUAUAUUUCUACCUUUUGAAUUUGGGAAAAAAUUUCCUGCUGCCUCUAGGAGGGAAAAAGUCGAGUUGGAUAACCCAAAUUGAAAGAUUUUAGACUUGGAAAGAAUUAGAACUGCCUUAAAGUUAUUCUUGUAUUACUUUGUUCCUCACAUGUCAUUUGGGGCUCCAAUCUAACCCAAGGUUCAAUCAUUAUACAAUGGAUUAAUAAUAUAAAAUUUUUUUUUGUAGUAGAAGGUAAUUGCAAAGUCUUGAUCCAGUCAUUAUACAAUGGAUUAAUAAUAUAAAAUUUUUAUUUGUAGUAGAAGGUAAUUGCGAAGUCUUGAUAGCUUCUCUAGCAUUCGAAUAUUUCCUUGAAGCAAGCUAAAUAGGCAAUGAUAUGCAAUGCAAGGAUAUUUAAAUUUUUUUAGAAAAAACCCCAAUCCAGAUGUUUAAAAUCAAACAAGUAUCAACAGUCUGUCUUCUCUGCUUCUGCUGGGGAAUCGUUCGGCGGGUUUUAUCAACAGAAGAAAAGAAGAGAUUUCUAGUUUUCUAUUGUGAUUGAUUUUCUUCACUUGACAUUUUUUAAGAUAAGAAACCACAUAGGAGAGCUAUUGAGCCAUCCAUGAGAAAACUCUAGCGUAAAGUAAGCCAGAAAACGGUAUGAUACUUCACGUUUGGAGUUUAUUUUGUUAGAUUCUGGCUUAUCAUAAUAAAUUUCAUUUUUCGUAUAUUUCAGCAGUUUGACCUUGCCUACGAUGAAUAACAGCUGAUAGAUAUAGUAGUUUGUAAAUCUCCAUUCCAGAUAGCUUCAGGCAGCGGUUAAAAACAUGUGAUAGUCUCAGUUAAACAGAAAUCUCUAAGCCCAUCCAACUGUGAUUUGGGCUCAAUAAUAUGGUAUAAGGUUUUUCUGACAUCAUUGUUAUUGUAUGACACUUUGAAAUUGCUGCUACUAGAGAUUAGUAACCACUGCAAGUGUAUAUCAGGUAUAAUGCUUUGAGAUAGUUUUGGACACCUUUAAAUAAUUUUAUAUCUUAGUACUAGCCUUUAUUUUAUUUGGAGUAGUAAGACAUUUCACCUCAUGCGAGAAUAGUUUGGAGAUGAUGGGGGGUUUGUCGUUGAACCCUACCUUGUAUAUUGAAUAUUAAAAGUUACAUAAAUAGAGGGGGGUGAAAGUCAUAAACCUGUGUAACAUAGAAGGUGAACAAGCUCACCUAUAACAAACCAAUAGGAUUCUGGAGUGCCCCUAUUUUUCACUAAGAAGGAGGAUAAAACAAAGGUACUUAAGCUUAACACUAGCUAUAUAUAGUAUAUACAUUGGUGAUAUACAAAAUAUGGGAGAUUUAAAGGGCAAAGUACCUUUCUACUAACACUGGUCCUAUAUAGCAUUUGCAAUGGUGCUAUACAAAUGAGAGAUUUAAAGAGCAAAGUGUCUUUCUACUAUGUGCACAACAAAUAAUAUUUUCUAUGUAUAGUGAUGAGAGAACUGAAUUUAGCCAUUAAAAAAGUUGGAUUUGUGUCACGAUCCAAAAAUGAGGGUUAUGAUAGCACUUGUCGUGGUGUAUCUUGACAAGUAAGCCUAUCACCCAAACUAAUACGAAAAGAGGAAAAGAUAGAAAUAUCCCAAAAUAAGGCUUUUAGAACGAAGUCGAACCAUAUAAGUAAUCAUAACAAUGCAAAAAGAAUUUAUCCAAAAUAUCAAUCAUGCCCAAAAUUAGGUGUCAAUAGUGUAAGAAUUACUAAUACAAUCCAAGAGUUAAAUACAUCUGAAAAUAACCACAAAGGAAUAAUAAUAUUCUCCGAAUACUAAUAAAAACAUAACUACUAUAGAAAAUAGAGGUGAACUUUGGAUGCAUGAAUGUCCAAUCGCUACCUUGGAAACUCCAACAAUCGCCCGAGCCAAGCAAGCUGAGGCGCACUCGAGUUAGGACCUGCACCAAAAGCGCGCAGUAGGCAUAAGUACGGUCCACUUGUACUCAGGAGGUAUCAUAGGUCGACCAAGCAAAUUAGUAAAUAAAGUAUACAAAAUAAAAUAUACACUAUGGGCACAUCACCCGUAGUAAAAAAAAUAUCCCACAGUGAUAGCCUACACCACCUGCACUAAUAAUUUUAAUAUAUCACAUAUAUUGCAACAUCACACCAAGAUAGAACACAAAUAUGCAUUAUAUCACAUAUAAGUAGAACAUGGGAAAAUAUGCAUAUACAAGAUCAUCAAAUACAAGUAAAAGAAGAUAAGACAAUUACAUAGAUGGAAAUUCAAUAUGACAAUACAACACAUUAUAAACAUAAUAACCUAAGUGCAAUAUAGAUGAUGAUGAUGAUGCAGGAGAUAGUCGCACAACCUCCGGGAUCGUCUAACAAUUCCUGUAUACACAUACGGAGGCAAGCCUCUCAACGCAGGACCAUGGGGGUUCGUCAACCCGUAUACAAUCCACAUAUCUCAUAUCUCUUUCCUGGCACAUUCCUUGGGGAGGAUUUUAUAAGGUGUUACAAUAUCUCCUCCUUAGCACUUUCCUCGGGGAGGGUUUUAUAAAAGGUGUUGUCAGUGUUUCUCAGAUGUUGCCAUGUUGCUAUCAAUGUUUCAUGAAUGAGUAUGAUAUGAGGAUGUAAUGCUCACAACCAAUCACAAUGAGUAUUUUCACAACCAACCACAAUGAUACAUUUUCACUACCAUGUAAGCCAAUAUCCACUCAUAAUUUUUGUUUCAUCCAUGAAUUUCCACAUGUCUCAUAUAACAACAAGUAUGAAUAUAUCACAAUACACCAAUGGUACCACAUUAGGCAUUUCAACAACACUAUAAAAUUAUUCACAUAUAUUCAGGGCCAUCAACAUCACAUAGGACUCCACACAGUCAUAUGCAUUACAUAAUAUCUCAAUUUCGAUAAUUACAUCACAUAUAGGCCCCCUCACAGGUACAACACAUAGAUAGUCAUUUUUUAUGAUUAUUUCUUAUCCUUAAAAUGCAUUUAGUACCAUCUGAUCUGAGGUUAUUUUAUACACUUUGGUAUCAUUAUUCUAGCUUAUUUUGUCUUGUUUUUAGAGCAAUUUGUACGCUUUAUGUGCUCAUAUUGAUAUAAAUAAGAAUUUAAGUGUCCAAGUAUGUAUUUACGAUGUCCAAAGUAUUUUUCAAAUAAGUUUGUACUUAAUUGAGUAAUUUAGUGUUCAACCCGUAAAAUUAGUUUUACUAGCUUGAGUUAGGUGUGUGUCUAGUUGGUCUUGGUGGAUUCUAAUGUGUUUAAUUUGUUUCAAAUAUUUUAAUAAUGUAAUUAUGAGUGGAAUAACUUAUUUUUAAUGUGCAAAACUCAAUUUGAUUUAGUCAAGAGUCGAAAAAAUAAGUGGAAGAUCAUUGCGAAUUUGUCUUAUCUUAGCUCUUGUUUUGAUUUGUUAUUGAGAAUGAUGUGUUGUUUUGAUCUUUAAUAUAUGUUGUGUUGUUUUGAUAUUUAAUAUGUGGUGUAUGUUAUUGUAGAAGGCUUGGUGAGAUGAAUAUGGUGAUAUGUUGAUGACUUAAAGGCCGAAAAUUCGUUGAAAAUAUACUACAAAAGGCAUGGAUAAAGGAUAGAACGUUCUACACAACUAGAUUUUUGGAUGCAAAUUUCAGUGAGACUAUGCGAAGUCAACGCAUCACAUUGAUGUGCCCAACACGUUGACCAACGCGUCGCGUCGAUAGCACAAAGCACGGUCAGAACUAAAUGCUGCUGCCACGGGUAGACUUUGUCCAAUUUAAACCAAAUUGGGGCACAUCCUUAAGUUUGGUGGGAAUCAUAUCUUGAUAUACGUGCCACCUUUUUCAUAAUUCCAUAGUAAUUGGGAAAAAUAUAUAUAUAUUUGGAUUGGGACACAGCUGGUUCCCACUUAUAUGUAAAGUGGACACAUAAUUAAUAUUGGGGGAACACGUACAGUACCUGGAUACGGUCGGAUACUGUUUGGAGAAAAUAUACGGAGGCGGCUACACGGUUUAUUAGGUUUUAAUUUUUAUUUUUAGUCUUUAAUUUUUCAUAUCAUGUAUUCAAUUAUUUGGAUCAUGAUUAUGAAUAUUAAUAGCUAAAAACCCUUCUUCCGGGAUUAAAGCCAAGAACAUGAUCACUAUUAUUUUGGAUUAAUUUUGAUUAAUUUUUACUUAUCAUAUUUGGUUGUUUGUUUAUUCUUGUUUUAAUUAUUUUAAGGAUUCGCAACCCUUAGAAUACAUAUAUUAUCAACCUUUUGAUCUCGGGAGAGGGAAUAGGGAGAUUGAACACUGGA